rnacentral:rRNA from 1 species
AGAGUUUGAUCAUGGCUCAGGACGAACGCUGGCGGCGUGCCUAAUACAUGCAAGUCGAACGAAACUUUCUUACACCGAAUGCUUGCAUUCAUCGUAAGAAGUUGAGUGGCGGACGGGUGAGUAACACGUGGGUAACCUGCCUAAAAGAAGGGGAUAACACUUGGAAACAGGUGCUAAUACCGUAUAUCUCUAAGGAUCGCAUGAUCCUUAGAUGAAAGAUGGUUCUGCUAUCGCUUUUAGAUGGACCCGCGGCGUAUUAACUAGUUGGUGGGGUAACGGCCUACCAAGGUGAUGAUACGUAGCCGAACUGAGAGGUUGAUCGGCCACAUUGGGACUGAGACACGGCCCAAACUCCUACGGGAGGCAGCAGUAGGGAAUCUUCCACAAUGGACGCAAGUCUGAUGGAGCAACGCCGCGUGAGUGAAGAAGGUCUUCGGAUCGUAAAACUCUGUUGUUAGAGAAGAACACGAGUGAGAGUAACUGUUCAUUCGAUGACGGUAUCUAACCAGCAAGUCACGGCUAACUACGUGCCAGCAGCCGCGGUAAUACGUAGGUGGCAAGCGUUGUCCGG